AUUGAACGCUGGCGUCAGGCCUAACACAUGCAAGUCGAACGAGUGGCGGACGGGUGAGUAAUGUCUGUGAAACUGCCUGAUGGAGGGGGAUAACUACUGGAAACGGUAGCUAAUACCUCAUACCCUCGGAUGUGCCCAGAUGGGAUUAGCUAGUAGGUGGGGUAAAGGAUCACCUAGGCGACGAUCCCUAGCUGGUCUGAGAGGAUGACGAGGGAAGCUGGAACUGAGUAACGGUGAAAGAUCCUACGAGAAGCAGCAGGGGGGAAGAUUGCACAGUGGGCGCUGGCCUGAUGCAGGGAUGGCGCGUGGAGGAAGAAGGACAUCGGGUUGUUUAGUACUUUCAGCGGGGAGGCGUUAGACGCAUAUGAAGCACCGGCUAACGCCGUGCCAGCAGCCGCGGUAAUAC
rnacentral:rRNA from 1 species